rnacentral:rRNA from 1 species
CGCGGCCUAUCAGCUUGUUGGUGGGGUAACGGCCUACCAAGGCGACGACGGGUAGCUGGUCUGAGAGGACGACCAGCCACACUGGAACUGAGAUACGGUCCAGACUCCUACGGGAGGCAGCAGUGGGGAAUAUUGGACAAUGGGCGAAAGCCUGAUGCAGCGACGCCGCGUGAGGGAUGACGGCCCUCGGGUUGUAAACCUCUUUCGGCAGGGACGAAGCGCAAGUGACGGUACCUGCAGAAGAAGUCCCGGCUAACUACGUGCCAGCAGCCGCGGUAAGACGUAGGGGACGAGCGUUGUCCGGAUUCAUUGGGCGUAAAGAGCGCGUAGGCGGCUACGCAAGUCGGUUGUGAAAACCCGGGGCUCAACCCCGGGCCUGCAUCCGAUACUGCGUGGCUAGAGGUAGGUAGGGGAGAUCGGAAUUCCUGGUGUAGCGGUGAAAUGCGCAGAUAUCAGGAGGAACACCGGUGGCGAAGGCGGAUCUCUGGGCCUUACCUGACGCUGAGGCGCGAAAGCUAGGGGAGCGAACAGGAUUAGAUACCCUGGUAGUCCUAGCCGUAAACGUUGGGUGCUAGGUGUGGGCGGAUAUCGACCCCGUCCGUGCCGAAGCUAACGCAUUAAGCACCCCGCCUGGGGAGUACGG